rnacentral:lncRNA from 10 species
CCGCGACGACUUCCCCGUUGUGUUGGUCGGGAACAAGGCAGAUCUGGAGUCACAGCGCCAGUCCCCCGAUCAGAAGCCUCUGCCUUCGGCGCCUCCCACCACGUGGCCUACUUUGAGGCCUCGGCCAAACUGCGUCUCAACGUGGACGAGGCUUUUGAGCAGCUGGUGCGGGCUGUCCGAAAUACCAGGAACAAGAGCUCCCACCGAGCCCUCCCAGUGCCCCCAGGAAGAAGGGCGGGGGCUGCCCCUGCGUCCUCCUGUAGCCCAGGCAAGAGAGAAGCAACCACCACAAGCUCUCGGGACUAGCUGCCUUCGCACCUUGCUGUGUGACCUGAGGCCCUCACUGAGCCUCAAUUUCCUCAUCUGGGUCUCCCAGGACACAUCACAUACCCACCCUUACUUCCUGGCCUCUUCUGGGCUACUGCCACUGUGUGCCUUCUGCCAACGCCUCCUGUCCCCACCUAAGCCUGGUGGGGGUGAGGGGCUCCGGGUCACUGCUGUAUAUAACUCCCCUCCCCCAGAAAAAUAAAUGUCACUGCCAACGUC